rnacentral:sRNA from 1 species
AUUAACUUAUUUCUUUAAAUCACACACAUUCCGACACAUGUUCCGGGGUGCCUCAACAACACAGAUAACGGCUGAAAAGUGGUUAGUUGUUAGGGGUCGGAUUCAUGGGGGGUGUGGAGGCCUAACC